rnacentral:rRNA from 1 species
GACGAACGCUGGCGGCGUGCCUAAUACAUGCAAGUCGAGCGAAGUUUUUCUGGUGCUUGCACCGGAAAAACUUAGCGGCGAACGGGUGAGUAACACGUAAAGAACCUGCCUCAUAGACUGGGUCAACUAUUGGAAACGAUAGCUAAUACCGGAUAAUAGCAUUAACUGCAUGGUUGAUGUUUAAAAGUUGGUUUUGCUAACACUAUGAGAUGGCUUUGCGGUGCAUUAGCUAGUUGGUGGGGUAAAGGCCUACCAAGGCGACGAUGCAUAGCCGACCUGAGAGGGUGAUCGGCCACACUGGGACUGAGACACGGCCCAGACUCCUACGGGAGGCAGCAGUAGGGAAUCUUCCGCAAUGGGCGAAAGCCUGACGGAGCAACGCCGCGUGAGUGAAGAAGGAUUUCGGUUCGUAAAGCUCUGUUGUUAGGGAAGAAUGAUUGUGUAGUAACUAUACACAGUAGAGACGGUACCUAACCAGAAAGCCACGGCUAACUACGUG